UCUAGUCGGUCGGACUCUCUCUUCUCUCUCUAAAAAUCCCACAUUUCUCUCUUACUUGCACUUUGUCGGCCUCCAACCCUCUUGGCGCCAAUCGGGUGUCUCCCCUCUCUUCCCUGCGCCGGAUCUGGUGGCGGGACGGUCGGCAGCAAAACUCUCUCCUCUCUUCCCUGCGCUUUGCCAGCUUCCAACCCCCUUGGCGUCGAUCGAGUGUCUCCCCUCUCUUCCCUACGCUUUGCCGACUUUCAACCCCCUUGGCGCCGAUCGAGUGUCUCCCCUCUCUUCCCUGCGCCGGAUCUGGUGGCGCGACGGUCGGGCUUCCUCUCUCUCACUCUUCUCCUGCACUUUGUCGGCUUCCAAUCCCUUUGGCGCCGAUCGGGUGUCUCCCCUCUCUUACCUACGCCGGAUCUGGUGGCGCGACGGUUGAGCUUCCUCUCUCUCACUCUUCUCCUGCCUGCGUAAACCCGAGCCCCCAAAAGAAAAAAAUGAACCCCAAAAAUCCCCUCCCUCACUGUGUGUAUUUUUGAAUUUUUUUUGUCUAUUUCUAGUAUAUUUUUUUAUUUUUGUGGAUUGUUGGAGGUUGUUAGAAAGCUAAGACUUUUUGGUCUCUGGUUGCUUUUUUUUUUUUUUGGCUUGCAGGUUUUGGCCUCUUUCGGAUGGGUACUACAGUGCCCCCUUUAUACUCGGUUGAAGGGGAGGCACGCUCCCACUACCUUACCACUCC
rnacentral:lncRNA from 1 species